rnacentral:lncRNA from 1 species
UUCUUUUAUUCCCUUUUUUUCCUCCUCUCAUCCCAUCCACAUUUCCCCACAGAGGGUUGGGCUGUUUUUUUUCUUCUUCGCGUCUUUCAGCACUGAAGUUCCAGAGCCACAGACGAAGCCUUACGUUUACACUGUCUGCAGCCACACUGCUGCAACGCCACUACAGCCGGUGAAUGUUGUCGCGGCAGCAAUGCGUGUAACAAGACAAGUCGUAACUUUUCUCCCUGCCACUUACAUUGCGUCUACGUUGCUUUUACCUUCGCGAAAUUUGAGACGUACAGUUGUCUAAACACUUCACCGCGCACUGCGAUGCUGCUUCCGAUGUUGGUGCGAGGGCAGGGCACAGGAACUCUACAAGCACACGAUCCCUUACAGUUACGUUUACAUAAAUAUCAAGGUGAUAUGGAUUCGUUCCGCUGAUUUCUCCUUGUUUUGUUUUUUUUAAGCUACUGGUGGAAAGUUUUUCCCUCGAAUAUUUAGUAGUCUAUCACUGUCAGCGCUCAGAGUCUACAAAUGUCACGCUCUUACUACUGAAUAGAUUUUUUUAAGAGUGUCUGUCUGUACUGCUCAUGAGUGUGUUUCGCGCGGCGCGCGCGUGUGUGUGCAUGUGUGUACGAAUGGAAUCUAAAGAAAAACCAAAGUGUGACGUCGAGGGUGUGCAUUCAGCUGCCUGUUGUCAGAGGAUUGCGCGUGUGUGUUUGUGUGUGUGCUGUCAGCACUUUGUACGAGACGGGGCCCGAUUGUUGUUUUUAAAAAGAAAUCAUAGGUGUUUUUUAUUAAUUGGAGAGCCCAGUCUGAGAUUAUUAGACACCGGAAAACAAUCAAUGUUCUUCUUCUUGAACUGUGCACAUGAUGAGAUACUUUGCGGCGAGUAUCCAAAUACUGCAUUUUACAGCGACGUCAGUUUAGAGAUAUGCAAUCCGAGCCCCUGCUGAAAAGACCCGUCAUUUAUACUUCAGUGUAUAUGGUUAAAGUGAGGAGGGGGUUGGGGGUUGGUCACUAUCUUUCGUCCCGGACUAUGAAACACAGGCGACACACACCCGUCUUCACUCUGUGCUACUCUGUUUAUAUUCAUUACUGCCUCUUUUGUGCUGAAACUUCUGAUGAGUCUAUCCAAGAUUGGCCCACAUUGCCGUGGAUAAACAACUCGACUGAACCCAGUGAAUGUAUCCACUUACUGUGAGUCUGUUCCCCACGACUGGAGAAAACGAGUCGACUUUUCAUCCUUCAUUUCAGCAGAUCUGCGCUGAAUCACUCCACACUCUGAGAAAUGCACAUGUCUCUGAUUACUUGGGGUCCCUUUUAAAAAAAAAAGAAGAAAAAAGAAGAAAAAUGAUGACAAGUGCAAAUUCUUUUCUCUAUCACAACUGAUUUGCUGUAUUUAUUAUUACUGUUUUUUUUCUUGGGGGUUUAUAUUGAUCAAGCUUGAGCAUGAAAUAAAUCACUAAAUUUCAAAUCAAAUUGUGUGGAAAUACUUUUUCUUUCUUGUUUUUAUUGUCCUUUCACAGUGGCCAACAUGCUAGAUUACAUGCAAGUUGCAACUCCUGUUGAAGCCAACAGAGGGCGCUCCAGGACAGUGUUUGCGCUGCAAAUGCAUGGCUUGAGUCAGCUCUCCUCUUACACACAUGCUGUCAGUAUUGAAAUAAAGACUCGCUGAGUGUCAGUGCAGUAAUUGCCCUGACUGGUGGUGAGUCUAUAAACCUUGAAACCUGCAAAGACUGUAGAUGCCAGAGUUGAUUGUGCGUUUCGCUGUCCGCUCAGAUCGAGAAUGACCGGGGCUGAUGUCUGAAGACACAUGAACAAAUGAAAACACCAGUUAAGUGUAUAAGUUAAGAGGUGAUAUCUUAUGAAUCUUUGUUAGGAAGUACUCUUCUCUUGCCCACAGAAAGGUCAUAGGUCAGCGUCAGGAUUCAAAAUGUCUUGUUUGAGGACGACUGGAGUGCAGCUGACUGAUAUAUUUUUAAAAAAAUGCUCCCCAUUACUCUACCAUAAUCCAGACAUUAUCCAAUGAGUAAUCAGUAUUGGACUUCAACGGAGAUGUUAUAAGAAAGUCCAACCACUUCAAUAAUCCUGAACAGAAAAGCGUGUAAUGUCCCGAAGAUGGUUGCUUGGCACAUAGCCCCGCCCCUCCUACCGAUUGUCUGACUGUCUGAACAGGAAACGGACCAAAGCCAAUCAUUUCGCGGCACUGCGCGAGCGCACCAUCGAGGUUUGCCACAGCAUGAACUUAUGUGGUGUUUGUUAUUGUAUCCACUGCGUGAAUUAGCCUGGCUUCCGCAUGGCGGGAUUUCAUUCAGGCCAGGAGCCUGUUCCUGCAACUGCUAAGUGAAUACACAGAUGGCUGCCAAGUGAUAUAACUUGUCUACAUGGACUUUGACCACACUCAUCUUUAAACUUGUGACCUUCAGGCCCUCAGAAGUGCGCAAAAUGAUGUACUGACACAUUUUGAAAUAUUUUUAUGUUUGUUUGUAUUUGUCUAUAUAACCGAUCACAGACAACUUCACUGAUAGGUGAGUUGCAGCUCGCAAAUUGCUAAAACGAAAAUCUUUUGGUGUUUGGCA